UUACCCCAAACUGUGACUGCGUCCUCCUACCGGCCGCAGGAACAAUGGACUGUCUGUCAGUGGCGGUGUUGCCCAAGCAUAACAGAUGUGUGUGGACACACUAGACAAUGGCGUGGCUGGAUAAGUGGGUUCCUGAUCUCAGAGGCGGGGGGGAGGACAGCAGCUUGUGUCCGAGACGCCCGAGUGGGGCGAGGGAGAAAUCCACAGGACCAGAUCCUGAGACCUUCAGCACAGCUGAUCCCAGUGCAGAAAUCUCAACAGCCUCAAUCCAUGUUCUGUGUGAAAGUUAGAGGAGUUUGGGGAUGAGAUAGUUGUCAGCCUGUCGAAAGAGAAAUAACUUUUGUUACUUUUGGUGUGUGUUU